UUCUGCCCUAUGAUUAAUUAAAUGGCUGCAGUACUCUGACUGUGCAAAGGUAGCAUAAUAAUUAGUCUUUUAAUUGAAGGCUUGUAUGAAUGAUUACAUGAGAAAUUUAUUUUAUUUUUUAUAUUUUUAUAAUUUGAUUUUUAAGUAAGAAAGCUUAAUUCUUUUUCUGGGACGAUAAGACCCUAUAGAACUUUAAUUUUAAUUUUAUUAUUUAAGUUUUUAGUUUUAUUUAUUUUAUAUUUUAAUUAAUUUUUUUGUUGGGGGGAUAAAUAAAUUUAAACUUUAUUUUUUUAUUUCAUUAUAUUUAUGUUUAUUUUGAUCCAUAAUUAAUUAUGAUUUUAAGAUUAAGUUACCUUAGGGAUAACAGCGUUAUUUUAGUGGGGAGUUCAUAUCUAUACUAAAGUUUGCGACCUCGAUGUUGAAUUAAGAUUAGAUUUUGGGGUAG
rnacentral:rRNA from 1 species